UCCCCCUGACAAUGAACAAAGAGAAGACUUGGUAGUCUUGGUCUUAUAUCAGCCAGGGGGUAGAGCAGAUAACAGUCCUUUGUUUAUCCUAGCUUGAUGCCUGGCUUGGUGGUCAAAAAUCCUUUCUGCCUAUGACACAUAA
ensembl:snoRNA LOC120094480 small nucleolar RNA SNORA48